rnacentral:rRNA from 1 species
GAACUUGAAUAUUAAUGAGAGUUUGAUCCUGGCUCAGGACGAACGCUGGCGGCGUGCCUAAUACAUGCAAGUAGAACGCUGAAGGAAUAGCUUGCUAUUCUGGAAGAGUUGCGAACGGGUGAGUAACGCGUAGGUAACCUACCUCAUAGCGGGGGAUAACUAUUGGAAACGAUAGCUAAUACCGCAUAAGAAUACUUAUUGCAUGAUAAGUAUUUAAAAGGAACAACUGUUUCACUGUGAGAUGGACCUGCGUUGUAUUAGCUAGUUGGUAAGGUAACGGCUUACCAAGGCGACGAUACAUAGCCGACCUGAGAGGGUGAUCGGCCACACUGGGACUGAGACACGGCCCAGACUCCUACGGGAGGCAGCAGUAGGGAAUCUUCGGCAAUGGGGGCAACCCUGACCGAGCAACGCCGCGUGAGUGAAGAAGGUUUUCGGAUCGUAAAGCUCUGUUGUCAGCCAAGAAUGUAUGUGAGAGUGGAAAGUUCACAUAGUGACGGUAACUGACCAGAAAGGGACGGCUAACUACGUGCCAGCAGCCGCGGUAAUACGUAGGUCCCGAGCGUUGUCCGGAUUUAUUGGGCGUAAAGCGAGCGCAGGCGGUUUGAUAAGUCUGAAGUAAAAGGCUGUGGCUUAACCAUAGUAUGCUUUGGAAACUGUUAAACUUGAGUGCAGAAGGGGAGAGUGGAAUUCCAUGUGUAGCGGUGAAAUGCGUAGAUAUAUGGAGGAACACCGGUGGCGAAAGCGGCUCUCUGGUCUGUAACUGACGCUGAGGCUCGAAAGCGUGGGUAGCGAACAGGAUUAGAUACCCUGGUAGUCCACGCCGUAAACGAUGAGUGCUAGGUGUUAGACCCUUUCCGGGGUUUAGUGCCGUAGCUAACGCAUUAAGCACUCCGCCUGGGGAGUACGACCGCAAGGUUGAAACUCAAAGGAAUUGACGGGGGCCCGCACAAGCGGUGGAGCAUGUGGUUUAAUUCGAAGCAACGCGAAGAACCUUACCAGGUCUUGACAUCCCUCUGACCGGCCUAGAGAUAGGCUUUCUCUUCGGAGCAGAGGUGACAGGUGGUGCAUGGUUGUCGUCAGCUCGUGUCGUGAGAUGUUGGGUUAAGUCCCGCAACGAGCGCAACCCCUAUUGUUAGUUGCCAUCAUUAAGUUGGGCACUCUAGCGAGACUGCCGGUAAUAAACCGGAGGAAGGUGGGGAUGACGUCAAAUCAUCAUGCCCCUUAUGACCUGGGCUACACACGUGCUACAAUGGUUGGUACAACGAGUCGCAAGCCGGUGACGGCAAGCUAAUCUCUUAAAGCCAAUCUCAGUUCGGAUUGUAGGCUGCAACUCGCCUACAUGAAGUCGGAAUCGCUAGUAAUCGCGGAUCAGCACGCCGCGGUGAAUACGUUCCCGGGCCUUGUACACACCGCCCGUCACACCACGAGAGUUUGUAACACCCGAAGUCGGUGAGGUAACCAUUUGGAGCCAGCCGCCUAAGGUGGGAUAGAUGAUUGGGGUGAAGUCGUAACAAGGUAGCCGUAUCGGAAGGUGCGGCUGGAUCACCUCCUUUCUA